GAUCUAAAAAAACCAUAAUUUGCAAAAUUAUGAAUUAAUAUUUGUUAUUAGAUUU
rnacentral:tRNA from 1 species